rnacentral:rRNA from 1 species
CUCUAUGGCCAUGCUACCCUGAACAAGCCCAAUGUCUGAUCUCGGAAGCUAAGCAGGGUCGGGCCUGGUUAGUACUUGGAUGGGAGACCACCUAGGAAGACCAGGUGCUGUAGGCA